AGGCUAUAUACAGGGGUACUGGUACAGAGUCAAUGUGGAGGCUAUAUACAGGGGGGUACCGGUACAGAGUCAAUGUGGAGGCUAUAUACAGGGGUACCGGUACAGAGUCAAUGUGGAGGCUAUAUACAGGGGGUACCGGUACAGAGUCAAUGUGGAGGCUUUAUACAGGGGUACCGGUACAGAGUCAAUGUGGAGGCUAUAUACAGGGGGUACCGGUACAGAGUCAAUGUGGAGGCUUUAUACAGGGGGUACCGGUACAGAGUCAAUGUGGAGGCUAUAUACAGGGGUACCGGUACAGAGUCAAUGUGGAGGCUAUAUACAGGGGUACCGGUACAGAGUCAAUGUGGAGGCUUUAUACAGGGGGUACCGGUACAGAGUCAAUGUGGAGGCUUUAUACAGGGGGGUACCGGUACAGAGUCAAUGUGGAGGCUUUAUACAGGGGGUACCGGUACAGAGUCAAUGUGGAGGCUGUAUACAGGGGGGUACCGGUACAGAGUCAAUGUGGAGGCUAUAUACAGGGGGUACCGGUACAGAGUCAAUGUGUCAAUGUGGAGGCUUUAUACAGGGGGUACCGGUACAGAGUCAAUGUGUCAAUGUGGAGGCUUUAUACAGGGG
ensembl:lncRNA